GCUGGCGUAGCUCAAUCGGUAGAGCAUCGGUUUUGUAAACCGAGGGUUGUGAGUUCGAGUCUCACCGUCAGCU
rnacentral:tRNA from 1 species